rnacentral:rRNA from 1 species
AACGAACGCUGGCGGCAUGCCUAACACAUGCAAGUCGAACGAACCCUUCGGGGUUAGUGGCGCACGGGUGCGUAACGCGUGGGAAUCUGCCCUUUGCUUCGGAAUAACUCAGGGAAACUUGUGCUAAUACCGGAUGAUGUCUUCGGACCAAAGAUUUAUCGGCAAGGGAUGAGCCCGCGUAGGAUUAGGUAGUUGGUGGGGUAAAGGCCUACCAAGCCGACGAUCCUUAGCUGGUCUGAGAGGAUGAUCAGCCACACUGGCACUGAGACACGGCCCAGACUCCUACGGGAGGCGGCAGUGGGGAAUAUUGGACAAUGGGCGCAAGCCUGAUCCAGCAAUGCCGCGUGAGUGAUGAAGGCCCUCGGGUCGUAAAGCUCUUUUACCAGGGAUGAUAAUGACAGUACCUGGAGAAUAAGCUCCGGCUAACUCCGUG